rnacentral:rRNA from 1 species
CCUACGGGUGGCUGCAGUGGGGAAUUUUGGACAAUGGGCGCAAGCCUGAUCCAGCCAUUCCGCGUGAGUGAAGAAGGCCUUCGGGUUGUAAGGCUCUUUCGCAAGGGAAGAAAACUUAUCCUCUAACAUAGGAUGAGGUUGACGGUACCUUGAUAAGAAGCACCGGCUAACUACGUGCCAGCAGCCGCGGUAAUACGUAGGGUGCGAGCGUUAAUAGGGAUUACUGGGCGUAAAGCGUAAGUCGGCUGUUAAAUCCCCGGGCUCAACUUGGGAAGUGCGUUUGAAACUACAAGACUAGAGUAGGUCAGAGGGGGGUAGAAUUCCACGUGUAGCAGUGAAAUGCGUAGAGAUGUGGAGGAAUAUCAAUGGCGAAGGCAGCCCCCUGGGAUCAUAUUGACGCUCAUGCACGAAAGCGUGGGGAGCAAACAGGAUUAGAUACCCGUGUAGUC